GCCUACGGCCAUACCACCCUGAAAGCGCCCGAUCUCGUCUGAUUUCGGAAGCUAAGCAGGGACGGGCUUGGUUAGUACCUGGAUGGGAGACUGCCUGGGAAUACCAGGUGUUGUAGGCA
rnacentral:rRNA from 1 species